rnacentral:rRNA from 1 species
UACGGGGGGUGCGAGCGUUGUUCGGAUUUACUGGGCGUAAAGGGCGCGUAGGCGGUCGUGACAAGUCACUUGUGAAAUCUCCGGGCUUAACUCGGAACGGUCAAGUGAUACUGUCGGACUAGAGUACAGAAGGGGCAACUGGAAUUCUCGGUGUAGCGGUGAAAUGCGUAGAUAUCGAGAGGAACACCUGCGGCGAAGGCGGGUUGCUGGGCUGAUACUGACGCUGAGGCGCGAAAGCCAGGGGAGCGAACGGG